GCAGUAGCCGCGGGAAUACGUAGGGUGCGAGCGUUAAUCGGAAUUACUGGGCGUAAAGCGUGCGCAGGCGGUUAUAUAAGACAGAUGUGAAAUCCCCGGGCUCAACCUGGGACCUGCAUUUGUGACUGUAUAGCUAGAGUACGGUAGAGGGGGAUGGAAUUCCGCGUGUAGCAGUGAAAUGCGUAGAUAUGCGGAGGAACACCGAUGGCGAAGGCAAUCCCCUGGACCUGUACUGACGCUCAUGCACGAAAGCGUGGGGAGCAAACAGGAUUAGAUACCCGUGUAGUCCCUGUCUCUUAUAC
rnacentral:rRNA from 1 species